AAUGGUGCAAAAAAGUGAGUAUGGAUUGCUCCCAGGAAUAAAUUAGCGGGGCCGACAUUCCAAAUUUUAACAGCAGAUGGUGCAAAAUCUGAGUUAGGUAUUAGUGAGUGAAUUGGCAAAGCUGAAAUUCCAAAACCUUCCAAAAGAUGGGGCCAAAUCGUUGCCAGAAACCAAAAUUGAACGUGGUCUGAUCAAUGGAACACACACGAGGGCACAAAGGUGGUUUUUAUUUUAUUUUAAUUGUAUUUUAUUUUACUUGCUUGGCUGAAAUAUAUUCUGUAACCGCUUAAAGCAAUAUUAUCACAGAAUUAGACUAAGCUGCCCACCCUUAUGAGAAUAGGGGUGUGUUAAAAAGGGUAAGAACAGAUGAGUUCUUGUUUUCUUUUAAUUUUAUUUUAUUUUCUUUAAAUUGUAUUUUAUUUUAAUUGCUUGGCUGGAAUGUAUUCUGUAACCGCUUAAAGCAAUAUUAUCACAGAAUUAGACUAAGCUGCCCACCCUUAUGAGAAUGCGGGUGUGUUGAAAAAAGAAAAGAAAUCAAUUCAAAGGCUUUGAAUUAUUUUGAUUUAAUGGUUGACCAAAGUCUGACUUUGAAGUAUUGGUUUUAUAAAAAGGGAAGUAAAGAAAAGAGGAAAUAGGGUGCUUGCCAGGGGGGUUUCCACAGAAUUUCGGUGGAAAGAGUGAAACGGAAAUGAGCUGCCCGGAAAAACCGCAGGGGAUGAGCGUGGGAAGCUGGACAGUAUAGAAGCCGUAGGCGUGGGAAACUGGACAGUAUAGAGGCCAGCGGAAAAGGGAAGGGCCAGAGAAGUCUAUAAAAAGGUCACCUUGGACAUCUACGGGGCUCUCUCCUGGACCGCGGUCAUAACGAACAGAAGCCGGUAGGAGUUUCAAGACCUUUUUCCAAAGCCUUCGAGAUUUUUGUGUAAGACGCAAGAUUGCUGGCACCGAUUAACUUGGAUUUACUCAAAAGAAUUGGACUGGACAACUUUGCUUGAGAAACUAGGUGGCACCCAUGCUGACAGCGGCUAUCUGGAUUCUCGUGGGCCAAUUCAGGAUGGGGGAACUGCAGCUCAACCUCCUCGAAGACACUGCCAGGACAAUUGAGGGCUCCUUCGGCAGCCCUCUGCUCUGACAUGGACAUUCACUUUUUAUUUCAUUGAUUUUCAUGUUGUAUCAUUUGUGCCCUCUCUGCAUCCAUUUCAACCUGGUGAUCUUGAAAGGGGGAUCCUUCCAUCUGUGGUCCCUUCUCAAGGUUUCUCAUUUUCCCCCGGUAGGGGUGUUUAAGUUUUUCCUUGCCCUUUUGGGAGCUUAAGAUCAGGGGAUGCUUUGAGAAUAAUUGUCAAUUUCUGUCUAUGUGAAGCCCUUUGAGACUGCUUGUGAUUUAGGGCUAUACAAAUAAACUCUACUUGACUUGACUUGACAAGAGUUAGGGAGAUGAGUUCCACGCUAGAGAAAACAAAAUCGUCCAAGCCUGAAAAGUAUUGGGAGUCUGGGCUGAGAAGGAAGAGGGCGUCCGGCAGAGAACCCGGAAGUGGGGUCAAUCAUCAACCAUCUUUGAUUGAAAUUUGUUCUUUACCAAUGUAAAUGUUCAUACGAACACGUGUCUUUACUGCCAUGGCAGCAGUGGUAAACAUGCCAAUAAACUGUAUGAUGUCUCAUAAAUGCAGGGUUAUUAAAAGGUGCCUGGAUGUGCUAAAAAAUGCACAGCCUAUCUCCUGAUGGCACCUGUUUCAGUCUGUUUGGCAGAAGUGUGAGGAGGAAAGGAGACAAAAGUCAUUAGGCAGGAACCAUCCCAGUGUUGUUGUCAUGACUCAUCCUCAAUCAUGUCUGUGUGCUCACCCCUCCCCUCCUGUGUGAUCAUGUCCAUAGUUUGUCAGUGUGUCUGUGUGCUCGCCCCACCCCUCUUGUGUGCCCAUGAUCAGUGCGAUCAUUCUCACCUGCCUCUUGUUACCUGUCUUGUAUAUUAAGUCCUGUCUGUGUGUCACUCCCUGUCGGAGCAUUGUUGAAGUUUACUGUCAUGAGGUUUGUUUGGUUCCUGUCUUUUGUCUCACGUCUCUGUCUGAUUCCUGUGGUCGGUUUUGUUAGUCAGUUAUGUCAGUGUACCGAGUCUGUUAGUUUGAGUUUGCUUCAAUAAACCCUGGCCCAAGCUGCACUUGGUCGCCCUUCUCCGUU